AAUAUCUGUAACUGGUCAUUAAAGUUUAAUCAAUUGAAAGUAACAAAAAUAAAAACAUUUUACUUCAUUCAAUUUACACUUGCAAAAAAAAAAAACAUACACACAAUAAACCUACAUGGAAAUUAAAGUCUUUUUCAAUAUCCUGAAGUCUGAAAUAUGUUUACUCAUGUCAUUAAAUGUAGAGCUGUAUUGAAGAAGCCGAUUUUGCCAAUAUAUAGUUGAAUCGGCAUUUCUGCCGACUUCCGAUACAGUACGCUCGUUAAUUUUCGGCCGAUAUUACUGAAAAACGAAAGACUGCCAUAACCUAAAAAUCCACGAGUACCAUUUUCACUUUUCGUAGUAGUACUGCAUUCUUUCAGAUCGCAUUAUUUCUUAGCAACAUGUGCCAACCGUACAUAUCAAAGUUUAACAUCCUUUUUUUUUUAACAAUGUUCUUUAAUUUAAUAUGUCAUAAAUAAAUAAUACAUUACUAUCACGGUAAAUAUACAUCUCAGUUGUUACGGUAACUAUAGUGCAAAUAUGGUAGCUAUCAUGCUUCUGUAGUAAUUAUGGUAUUCUACAAAGAAUCUUUAGUUCUUUUUAUGGUAAUUAUCUUAAAAUAACUAUUGGGUUUGUACUGUAGUUAUGGUAUAUCAUCCAUAUUUCUUCGUAUGUUGUUGUUCAUUUGUCUUUUCUUCAUAUUUACGUGUGCCAUUAUUUGAGACAAGAAGUUUCAGAAAAAAUUUUAACGGACAUUAUAUCACACAUUUAAUGGCGUAAUGACGAGACCUCGGGCAAUUUAAACGCUUUAUACGGAAAAACCUACCAUGCGGGACCUCGGUAUCGCACCUGCCAGAGUCCCAGGAGGCAGCAGCCCCAGCGAGGAGCAGGAGGUUCCUGAGCCACGGCCAGCCGAGAGAGCCCUCAACUGCUCCUGAAGAUCGUGCAGAUCGUCCACCGCCCCGGGCAGCUGCGAGGACACCGGUGCCAAGCCUACGCUCCUCUCGCUCCACGCCGGCGCCUCCACGCUGCAAGCGACCAGUGGACAUGACUUUCUGCAUGCCAGUGGGCGAGGAAGGUGACGGAGCAACUACAUCUACGAGGGCACUUUUCAUCUUCAACAAGGUUACAUUACAAUUACAAAAUUUAGUUAAGUAUUAAAACACAGACACACACACAUGUGGGAAAUCAUAAACAAUGCUGCCAAACAUCUGAAAGAACAAAAGCAAUUGUACAAAUUAGAGUAGGUGCUGAAAAAUAACUAAAAAUAAAAACUAUGAAAAUAGUAUUUUUUUGGCACUACAUGUCCUGAAAAUUUCGAAGUUUUUUAAAUGUUGCUAGUAUAACCUAGCCAAUUGUUUCCAUCAAUUUAGAGUAUUUUAAAUUUAGCUGCCUAAUCUAACUGACCAUUCAAACUAUUUUACAGUAUUUUAAAUAUAGUGAAAGUCAGUGUUGUAUCUAGCAGCGACCAACUUUCGUCCUCAUUCCCGGGUUGGGUCUGCGUCUGUUGACAGUUUCAUUACCAUUUAACAUUAAACUAUAAAAUUAUCUGAAAACACCGCCUGACCAUUUACCGCGGCGCCAACUACAACAGGGUAUGGGCCCAAAGCAAACAUACAAGCAGAUUACCUACUGGAAAUAAGUAAAAAGGAAGCAAAACAUUAAGGAUGCGUGAUAGUGGCAAAGAAAUUUCAACUCACUAAAAUUGUUGCUAAACAUUUAAUAAAUUAAAAUUAUUACAGAUUCAAAAUUAUUUUUUCAUCAGCAUGUAGAAUACCUAACUUCUAGCUCUCAUAGAACACUAGCUCUAGUAAAAUACAUUACUUUUUACACAACAAAUUGUUAUCC